UGGGGAAUAUUGCACAAUGGGGGAAACCCUGAUGCAGCGACGCCGCGUGAAGGAUGAAGUAUUUCGGUAUGUAAACUUCUAUCAGCGGGGAAGAAAAUGACGGUACCUGACUAAGAAGCCCCGGCUAACUACGUGCCAGCAGCCGCGGUAAUACGUAGGGGGCAAGCGUUAUCCGGAUUUACUGGGUGUAAAGGGAGCGUAGACGGUAUGGCAAGUCUGAUGUGAAAACCCGGGGCUCAACCCCGGGACUGCAUUGGAAACUGUCGGACUAGAGUGUCGGAGAGGCAAGUGGAAUUCCUAGUGUAGCGGUGAAAUGCGUAGAUAUUAGGAGGAACACCAGUGGCGAAGGCGGCUUGCUGGACGAUGACUGACGUUGAGGCUCGAAAGCGUGGGGAGCAAACAGG
rnacentral:rRNA from 1 species